GAGUUUGAUCAUGGCUCAGAUUGAACGCUGGCGGCAGGCCUAACACAUGCAAGUCGAGCGGAUGAGUGGAGCUUGCUCCAUGAUUCAGCGGCGGACGGGUGAGUAAUGCCUAGGAAUCUGCCUGGUAGUGGGGGACAACGUUUCGAAAGGAACGCUAAUACCGCAUACGUCCUACGGGAGAAAGCAGGGGACCUUCGGGCCUUGCGCUAUCAGAUGAGCCUAGGUCGGAUUAGCUAGUUGGUGGGGUAAAGGCCUACCAAGGCGACGAUCCGUAACUGGUCUGAGAGGAUGAUCAGUCACACUGGAACUGAGACACGGUCCAGACUCCUACGGGAGGCAGCAGUGGGGAAUAUUGGACAAUGGGCGAAAGCCUGAUCCAGCCAUGCCGCGUGUGUGAAGAAGGUCUUCGGAUUGUAAAGCACUUUAAGUUGGGAGGAAGGGC
rnacentral:rRNA from 1 species